CCUACGGGAGGCAGCAGUGGGGGAUAUUGCACAAUGGGGGAAACCCUGAUGCAGCGACGCCGCGUGUGGGAAGACGGUCCUCUGGAUUGUAAACCACUGUACCCAGGGACGAAGAUGACGGUACCUGGGGAGGAAGCUCCGGCUAACUACGUGCCAGCAGCCGCGGUAAUACGUAGGGAGCGAGCGUUGUCCGGAAUUACUGGGGGUAAAGGGAGCGUAGGCGGGGAUGAAAGUUGGGGGUCAAAACUACGGGUCAAACUGGUAGUCGCACUCAAAACUGUAGCGCGUGAGUGAAGUAGAGGCAGGCGGAAUUCCUAGGGUAGCGGUGAAAUGCGUAGAUAUUAGGAGGAACACCAGUGGCGAAGGCGGCCUGCUGGGCUGUUACUGACGCUGAGGCUCGAAAGUGUGGGGAGCAAACAGGAUUAGAUACCCCUGUAGUC
rnacentral:rRNA from 1 species